UGCCCACGGGGUGCCCUUGCUUUCAGGGCUGAGAGGCGCGCGGAACGCGCCAACCCGUCGAACCUGAUCCAGGUCAUGCUGGCGUAGGGACUGGGG
rnacentral:ncRNA from 1 species